AGAGAGAGAGAGAGAGAGAGAAGGCUGAGUGUGUAUGUUUUGAAAGUGUGUAAGGGAAAGUUUCCAUGUUAGGGCAAGUAAGUGUGUCUGUAAGGGCAAGUGUAUGUUAGGAUGUGUCCCUAGUUAAAAUGUAAUGCAUGUAUGUGGACAGGCAUGUAUGUGUUUGGACAGGAGAGCGUACAGGCUAGUGUAUAUGUAGUACUAUUUCUGUUUUGUGUCUUUGUCAAGAGAAUAUAAUGAUUCAUUUUAACAUAGGGGAACUCUUUAGUAUCAUUUACAUUU